rnacentral:rRNA from 1 species
GUUGAUCCUGCCGGACCCCCACUGCUAUCGGGAUAGGACUAAGACAUGCUAGUUGAGCGCUUCCAGCCAACACGGGAGCGCAGCGCACAGCUCAGUAACACGUGGCUAAUCUGCCCUUGGGAUAGGAACAUCCCCGGGAAACUGGGGCUAAUUCCCAAUAGGCGAAGAACUCUGGAAUGAGUCUUCACCAGAAAAGACGUUUACGUUAUGCUCGUAGGCGUCGCCCAAGGAUGAGGCCGCGACCGAUCAGGUUGUUGGUGAGGUAAUGGCUCACCAAGCCUUUUACCGGUGCGGGCCGUGAGAGCGGGAGCCCGGAGAUGGGCACUGAGACAAGGGCCCAGGCCCUACGGGGCGCAGCAGUCGCGAAAACUUUGCAAUACACGAAAGUGUGACAGGGCUAUCCCGAGUGCCAUCCGCUGAGGAAGGCUUUUACCCAGUCUAGAACGCUGGGGGAAUAAGGAGAGGGCAAGUCUGGUGUCAGCCGCCGCGGUAAUACCAGCUCUUCGAGUGGUGUGGAUGUUUAUUGGGCCUAAAGCAUCCGUAGCUGGCUGAGUUAGUCCCCUGUUAAAUCCACCGAAUUAAUCGUUGGAUUGCGGGGGAUACUGCUCGGCUAGGGGACGAGAGAGGCAGACGGUAUUUCCGGGGUAGGGGUGAAAUCCUAUAAUCCCGGGAAGACCACCAGUGGCGAAGGCUGUCUGCUAGAACGCGCCCGACGGUGAGGGAUGAAAGCUGGGGGAGCGAACCGGAUUAGAUACCCGGGUAGUCCCAGCUGUAAACGAUGCAGGCUAGGUGUUUGGACGGCCACGUGCCGUUCUAGUGCCGCAGGGAAGCUGUUAAGCCUGCCGCCUGGGGAGUACGAUCGCAAGAUUGAAACUUAAAGGAAUUGGCGGGGGAGCACCACAAGGGGUGAAGCUUGCGGUUUAAUUGGAUUCAACGCCGGG